UUUCUAGUUCUGUGUCGUGUGUGAGAUUGGUGGCGUGCAUCUGACGCGCGAAAUAUUGGACACAUGAGGCAGCAAUGAGUCCUUGUAUUUUUUCUUCUAAAUUUUAAAGAAUAUCACAAGUUGUGAACAAGAAUUCGUGGUGCCUUGGCCCUCGUUCUCUCAUCUCCAUGCCAGAUGGCCUUUAAGAAGGAUCAUAAAUAAGAGUUUGUCUGUUUGCUAUCUUGGACGGCAACUCGUGUCCUUAAAAGUAAUCACGAUAGGCACAUUGCGAUACAGGAUUGUGGAGACAAACAUUGUGGUUCCAGCUAUUAUCCUUAGACAUUUGCAGCUUCUGAGCACUGAGAAAAGAUUGUUGCUGAUGUAGAGUUUUUUAUCGUUGGACCCCACAGUCCAAGACAGAAAUAAAUAGGACAAAAACUUCCAUCUGCAUUACUAACAAAAGAAAAGGCACAUUUUUAGAUUGGCUUAAUUGAUCUACUUUUUUUCUGUCUGGGGUCACAAGUGUCAUGAAGCUGGCCACACCUCGAAAGGCUGCCUGAAUCUAUUCAGUGAAUUGACAGAAAGUUGGAAAGCAGCAUCAGCAAUACAUUCCGGAAGCUGUGACAUGCAUUGAAAAGGAACUGUUUAAGGGCAUGGCGGCGGAGUGAAUGUUUCCCCAAGAAAACAUUGUUAACAUUCACCACCACCAGAAACUUUAAUUUGAGAAUACCUAAUAUUUGAAACUCCUUUUCAAAUUACUAAAUGAAUGAGAAUAUCACAAGUUGUGAACAAGACAUUGUGGUGCCUUGGUCCUCGUUCUCUUAUCUCCAUGCCAGAUGGCCAUUAAGAAAGAUCAUAAAUUUUCAUCUUAUACCAUGAACGCAAGAAAAGUUUAUCUGCUUGCUAUCAUUGACGUGUCAUGAAGCUGGCCACACCUCGAAAGGCUGCCCGAAUCUAUUCAAUGAAUUGAAGGAAGAUGGAAAGCCAAGGCAUCGUCUGUGGGGAACGACUUCAGUUGCAGUUAUUCCUAAUACUUAAUUAGUUAAGAUAUUGCCGGCGUCAACUAUGUCGUAAAUUAUGACUUACCAACUUAUAUUGAAGAAUGAAGAGUAUGAUCAUCGUGUUGGUCGAACGAGCGGCGUGGGAAAUGUCGAUGACGAAGAAAGAGAUGGACCUAACGCUGGAGAGUGUGUUUGUUUACUAAGCCCAAGGCCGAUGUACCGUCAUUCAUGCAAGCGAUGGUCCCAGGCCUGAGUUACGACUUUAGCGCCCCUUCGACUCAAGGGGGUUUCGCUAGUCGAGAUAGGCGCUGACAGUUCGGCGAUAAACUGGAUUUGCUGCCUUGCCCACUGAAGUUGAAGAGAGUUGGGGUUAACUCAAUGUAAUUAACCAAAAUUCGUAUCCAAGAACAUCUUGGAAUUUGAAAUGUCUGUUUGAAAAUUUGAUUACGUGGUUAUUUUGCUAACCCAUUUACCUGAAUAGAGGAAAAAUUCAUUUUGUGUAAGGAAACAGUUAAUGGGAAUAUUUUAAAUUAUUCUUCUCCA